UUACAGGCGUGAGCCACUGUGCCCCGCCCUCAAUAGCUAUUAAACAUAAAAUAUUUAAGGGGAGGCUGAGACGGGAGGAUCUCUUGAGCCCAGGAGUUCAAGACUACCCUGGGCAGCAAAGUGACACCCCGUUUCUACAAAAAAAUUAAAAACAGCCAGGCAUGGUGGUGGGCACCUGUAGUACCAGCUACUCAGAAUGCUGAGGUAGGGGAGGAUCACUUGGAAUUCACGUGAACUAAGAAGUGCCACACUGCACUCCAGCCUAGGCAACAGAGAGAACCUGUCUCAAAAAAAAUAGUGAAAACAUCUAUAAACUAAGUGAAGAAACAUGAUAGCAACAUUUAUGUCAUGUAAAAAAUGGUGCCUUGCCCAUUCAAAAUCGUAGCUCAAACGAAGUUUGCAUAAAUAAUGAAGUCUUAGUCAAAGAAUCAUUAGAUUCUUUAAUAACUACUUUCUCUUAAUUGCACUCAUAACUUUCAAAUAUUCUAUCAGGUCUACAGUAUUUUGAGAAUAAAAGCAGCUUACUGUUUCAGACGGAUAACAUACACAAUGGUAUGAUUUGAAGAGAAGUGUGAUAAAUUUUUCCUAAAGACUAAAAAUCCAAAAAGUUAAAAUUAAACAACAGAUAUGAGCUGGGCGUGGUGACACGCACCUGUAAUCCCAGCUACUUGGGAGACUGAAGUGGGAAGAGCCCUUGAGCCCAGAGAGUCGAGGCUGCAGUGAGCUAUAACCACACCACUGCAGUCCAGCCUGAGCAACAGAGAGAGACCAUGUCUCAAAACAAAGAAAAGAGGCUGGGCAUGGUGACUCAUGCCUGUAAUCCC
rnacentral:lncRNA from 10 species